GUACUGGAGCCAUCCUGCUCCCAAGCUGAAUGUCUCCUCUCUACACACUUCUGUUAGGAUUCUUCCAGGCUCUGCACCAUGAAGAUGCCAGCAGCAGGUAUUUGGACACAGGGUCUCAAAAGGACAGGAUGAGGCUCAGACAUGCUCACGCCUCAUACAUCAAAACAGCUGAAGGGUUCCUGUUACACAGCUGGUUUAAAUUUGCCUGUGUUGAACUGCCUGCCUGAAUGAUUCAGCAUAUUCUCAUAGUGACCUGAUUCACAUAUAACACCAAGCCAUACCAUGAAGAAACAUGCUGGCUCCCAGGGAAAAGAUUGCACCUCCUGUCUUGCCACUACUGCACUGUUGUGAGGGCAUUUACUGAAGCAGUCAGCUGACCUCUUCAGCGCUCCUUGUUUCCUCAAAGCUGCAUCUAUGGCAAAUGAUAUCUUAUCAUAGGCUGAAAUGUCCAAGAGUCGGCAAGGACUAGACUUCCUACCCGGCCCCGGCCCCAC